ensembl:misc_RNA 7SK 7SK RNA
GGACAAUCUGGCUGCAACAUCAGUCACCUCAUUGCUCACUGGGUAUGAUUUGGCUUAUCUGGCAAGGCAGAUGUCUCCACUGCUCCAUGUAUCUGUCCUGAACCUGAACACUCAGUAGAAGAGGACAACCUUCCCCAGUAGAGGAGGAUGCUUCAUCACAUAUACACCAGUGGCUGCUCUCUCUUGCUAGAACCUCCAAACAAGCUCUCUGGUAGGACCAACCUAAUAGGAUUUUGUAAGUACUAAAGGACUACAUAUGCAUAAGGCACAUGGAAUGU